rnacentral:rRNA from 1 species
CCUUAGUCAUAUUUCCAAGAAAAGCUCCGAUUACUUUAUAAUUUAAAUAACCUGUACCCUAAACCGACACAGGUAGGUAGGUAGAGAAUACUAAGGGGCGCGAGACUCUCUCUCUAAGGAACUCGGCAAAAUAACUCCGUAACUUCGGGAGAAGGAGUGGCUAGAGAUAGCCCGCAGUGACCAGGCCCAGGCGACUGUUUAUCAAAAACACAGGUUUCCGCAAAAUCGUAAGAUAAAGUAUGGGAGCUGACGCCUGCCCAGUGUCGGAAGGUAAAAGAAGUUGGUUAUUCUUCGGAAGAAGCUGACGACUGAAGCCCCGAUGAACGGCGGCUGUAACACUGACAGUCCUAAGGUAGCGAAAUUCAUUGCCAAGUAAGUUUUGGCCCGCACGAAAGGCGUAACGAUCUGGGUACUGUCUCGGAGAGAGACUCGGUGAAAUAGAAAUGUCUGUGAAGAUGCGGACUACCUAUACCAGGACAGAAAGACCCUGUGAAGCUUGACUGUAGCUUGGAAUUGGAUUCGGGCUCUUUUUGUGCAGUCUAGGUGGGAGGCGAUGAUAUACUGUUUUCGGACAGUGUGGAGCCAUCAGUGAGAGACCACUCUGAAAGAGCUAGGAUCCUAAUACGAAUCCUUGAAUCAGGAUCGUUAACAGUUUCAGGCGGACAGUUUGUUUGGGGCGAAUACCUCCCAAAAAGUAACGGAGGUGUGCAAAGGCUUCCUCAGGCUGGACGGAAAUCAGCUGUAGAGUGUAAAAGUAUAAGGGAGCUUGACUGCAAGACCAACAAGUCGAGCAGGAGUGAAAGCUGGCUUUAGUGAUCCGACGGUACCGAGUGGAAGGGCCGUCGCUCAACGAAUAAAAGUUACUCCAGGAUAACAGGCUAAUCACUUCCAAGAGUUCGUAUCGACGAAGUGGUUUGGCACCUCGAUGUCGGCUCAUCGCAACCUGGGGCUGUAGUCGGUCCCAAGGGUUGGACUGUUCGUCCAUUAAAGCGGUACGUGAGCUGGGUUCAGAACGUCGUGAGACAGUUCGGUCCAUAUCCGGUAUAGGCGUAAGAGCAUUGAGAGGAGCUCGACAUUGUACGAGAGGACCCGAAGGGUCGUACCGAUGGUGUACCAGUUCUUGUACCAACAGGAAACGCUGGGUAGCUAUGUACGAAGUGGAUAAUCGCCGAAAGCAUUUAAGUGAGAAGCCCACCUCAAGAUGAAUGCUCUCUAUUAGAUCGCAGCAAGAUAAGCUGAUUAAUUGGCGUUAGGUGUAAGGUCAGUAAUGGCUUCAGCCGAGACGUACAAAGGAUC